rnacentral:rRNA from 1 species
UACGAAGGACCCAAGCGUUAUCCGGAUUCAUUGGGUUUAAAGGGUGCGUAGGCGGGUUGAAAAGUCAGUGGUGAAAGCCCAACGCUUAACGUUGGAACUGCCAUUGAUACUCUCGAUCUUGAAUGUGUUUGAUGUGGGCGGAAUAUGACAUGUAGCGGUGAAAUGCUUAGAUAUGUCAUAGAACACCGAUUGCGAAGGCAGCUCACAAAGCCACUAUUGACGCUGAGGCACGAAAGCGUGGGGAUCAAACAGG